rnacentral:pre_miRNA from 1 species
UAUAAUAUUUGAUUCUUCGUUUUAUUAAAAAAAACUUUAUGCUUAACAUUUUUACUUUUAUUAGAUGAUAAAUUAUAAAUAGUACUUUACGUGUGACUAUUUUUUUUAAAUUUUUUAAAAAAAUUAAAUAAGACGAAUGAUUAAACGCUGGACAUGGAAAUCGA